rnacentral:lncRNA from 1 species
AGCUGGUGGUGCCUGGGGCUGGCAGGGGAAAACUUACAUACAGGGUCCUGCGGGCUGAGGCAGGACACCUAGUUUUGCUAACUGGGAAGGGUUUUUGCACAGAAGGGCUUCGAUGCUAUGCAUCACACUGUGGCAUGAAUGCGUGGCUCUUGGUUGUGCAGAGGGCACACAGUGGUGCGUGUCUGGCAGCUGUACUCCCUGCUGAGGGCCCACGCCUUGGAUGUGCCCUCGGGCUUUCCACACCAUUCCCACUGAGCACAAUGAGGGCCGCACCGGGCUGGGCAGGGACAAGAGGGGCCAGAGCCCUGAAGGGUGGGCAGUGAUGCUGUGCUGAGACCGGGUACCAGGUGCUAAACUGGACAGGCCAUGUUGGCUGAACACAAUGUGAGCAAGGCCGAUGCUAGUUGAAAAAGUGAUCGAUCACACGACUGCAAUGCACCCUUGCUGCCUGCACUGAGCCUCCAACUCCUCGCCUGGGGAUAAGGGAGGAGGUACCUGGGUCUCACCUGUGGCUCCCCUGCCCAGCCAAGGCCACCAAAGCAAAACUUGAGAGAGUUUUCAAGGAUGGACUUAUUUACUUCCAACAGCACUUUAGGAUGAGGGUGAUCACGCCGCCCUCUGAUGAUCCCCACACCCCACCCAGCCAGCACCCCACACAACACCGCAUGGGGUCUGAAAGGGCCACAGCCAGAUAGCAACUGGACCCCAACACCCAGGCCCCACCACCCCAGUUUGCAGGUCCAGACAGCAAGAACCAAACAUGGUGUGUUUGGGAAGAGCCCACAUGUUUGUGCCACGUGGGUGGACCCCAUACCCCGCAGGCCACCUGCUUUCUACUUUGGCAAAAAAACCCAAAAACCCUGGGAGCUUCAAGAACAUGAAGUGAACUUUAGGAAACAGGAAAAAAAAACCCCAAAGCAGCAGCCCGUGCCCAAAGCCCUCUCCGUCUGCCCAGCUGCCCCUUACAUAGCAGGCCGUCCUCACAGAGCCCUGGAGGUUUCCAAGCUGAGGAGUGGGCGGGUGGCAGCCCAGGUCACCUGUCAUUUAGUGGCAGGACAGACAUGGUGGCAUCACAGAAGGAGAGGCAUCAGGAAAGGAGGUGGUGCCACCACAGGAGCCCACACCUCAGUCAGUGAUGUGGGCAACACAGAGCUCGGCCCAGUGUUCCACGGUACCUCCAGAAGGGCCACGCGAGGGAGAGGGGCCCAGGCAACGGCACUGUCUUCAGGGACUGAGGCGCAAGGGCAGGAGGCUAAGCAGGGCCAGCAGCUGGCAGCUGUGGCUGGGCCUAGGCUGGAUGGACAGGGGAAGGGCAGGGGCCCCUCCCACAAAGGCCCUGGGGCGGUGUUGGUGGCACUCGAUGUCCCUGACACACAGGUCCACUCUCCUCUCCUGCAGGGCAGUGGGGGUGUCGGGGAGCUGCCUGUCAAGUGGGGUGGCCAGGAUCCCUCCAGCCGCAGGGAGCGGCAGGCCAGCAGUCACAACCCCAGCAGGGGACACGGGGGAGCCCAGGGUCACAGACAUUACCCACACACACCUGUGCCAAAUCAACUCCAGGACACAGCCCCACUAUUCAACCCAGGACAAGCAGGAUCAGCCCAAGGCUGCCAGGCCUGGUGGUGAGAGGAGCAGAAGGUGAGAGUGGCAGGGUGGGGACAGACGCCUCUGAGAUGUCACAGUAUGGUGGGCAGCUAGUUCCGCAAGGCAGCCAACCUAGGAGGCAACGCAAGACUCAGAUGGGCAGGGCAGGGCAGGGAUUCGAAGCACUGCACCCCAUCCGAAGUGAGCCAGAGUCCCGCCCCAGUGCCACUGUUAUGCCCCGGGUCUCCACAGCACAAGACUGUCCUGCAAUAGCACUAAUGACAGAUGCCAGUACCGGGAGCAGCAAAGAGCCCUCCCCCAACUGAGCUGCACGAGGACAGACCGC